ACGGGGGGGGCAAGCGUUGUUCGGAAUUACUGGGCGUAAAGGGCUCGUAGGCGGCCAACUAAGUCGGAUGUGAAAUCCCCAGGCUUAACCUGGGAACUGCAUCCGAUACUGGUUGGCUUGAAUCCGGGAGAGGGAUGCGGAAUUCCAGGUGUAGCGGUGAAAUGCGUAGAUAUCUGGAGGAACACCGGUGGCGAAGGCGGCAUCCUGGACCGAUACUGACGCUGAGGAGCGAAAGCCAGGGGAGCAAACGGGA
rnacentral:rRNA from 1 species